rnacentral:rRNA from 1 species
UGAUCCGGUGGUUCUGAAUGGAAGGGCCAUCGCUCAACGGAUAAAAGGUACUCCGGGGAUAACAGGCUGAUACCGCCCAAGAGUUCAUAUCGACGGCGGUGUUUGGCACCUCGAUGUCGGCUCAUCACAUCCUGGGGCUGAAGUAGGUCCCAAGGGUAUGGCUGUUCGCCAUUUAAAGUGGUACGCGAGCUGGGUUUAGAACGUCGUGAGACAGUUCGGUCCCUAUCUGCCGUGGGCGUUGGAGAAUUGAGAGGGGCUGCUCCUAGUACGAGAGGACCGGAGUGGACGCAUCACUGGUGUACCAGUUGUCUCGCCAGAGGCAUUGCUGGGUAGCUAAAUGCGGAAGAGAUAAGUGCUGAAAGCAUCUAAGCACGAAACUCGCCUUAAGAUGAGUUCUCCCUAGCUAUAAGCUAGUAAGGGUUGUUGAAGACUACGACGUAGAUAGGUCUGGUGUGUAAGCGGUGUGAGCCGUUGAGCUAACAGAUACUAAUUGCCCGAGAGGCUUAACUAU